rnacentral:rRNA from 1 species
AUUGAACGCUGGCGGCAUGCCUUACACAUGCAAGUCGAACGGCAGCACGGGAGCAAUCCUGGUGGCGAGUGGCGAACGGGUGAGUAAUAUAUCGGAACGUGCCCAGUCGUGGGGGAUAACGUAGCGAAAGCUACGCUAAUACCGCAUACGAUCUAUGGAUGAAAGCGGGGGAUCUUCGGACCUCGCGCCAUUAGAUGAGCCUAGGUCGGAUUAGCUAGUUGGUGAGGUAAUGGCUCACCAAGGCGACGAUCCGUAACUGGUCUGAGAGGAUGAUCAGUCACACUGGAACUGAGACACGGUCCAGACUCCUACGGGAGGCAGCAGUGGGGAAUAUUGGACAAUGGGCGGCAAGCCUGAUCCAGCCAUGCCGCGUGCAGGAAGAAGCAUCUAUGGUGUGUAAACUGCUUUUGUACGGGAAGAAACACUCCUACGUGUAGGAGCUUGACGGUACCGUAA